AUUUCUCUAAUGAUGUUUUGUUGAGCAUUUUUUCACGUGCUUGAUGGCUGCAUGUAUGUCUUUUGAGAAGUAUCUGUUGAUGCCUUUUGCCCAUUUUUUAAUGGUUUGCUUUUUGUUUUGGUGGGGGAUUUUUUGUUUUGUUUUUUGUUUGUUUUGCUUGAUUUGUUUAAAUCCCUUAUGGAUUCUGGAUAUUAAACCUUUGUCAGAUGCACGGUUGCAAAUAUUUUCUUCCUUUAUGUAGGCUGUCUGUUUAAUCUGUUGAAAUUUUCUUUUGCUGUUUAAAAGCUCUUUAGUUAGGUCCCACUUUUCUAUUUCUGUUUCCAUUGCAAUUGCUUUUGGAGAUUUUAUCAUGAAAUGUUUGCCAAGGCCUAGGUCCAGAAUGGUAUUUCCAAGGUAUUUUGCUAGAGUUUUUAUAGUGAUAGGUCUUACGUUUAAGUCUUUAAUCCAUUUUGAGUUGAUUUUUGAAUACAGUAUAAAAAAGGGGUCCAGUUUCAAUUCUCUGCAUAUGGCUAGCCAGUUAUCCCAGAACCAUUUAUUGAAUAGAGAGUUCUUCCCCAUUGUUUGCUUUCAUCAACUUUGUUGAAGAUCAGAUGUUGUAGGUAUGAAAAUUUAUUUCUGGUUUCUCUAACCUGUUCCAUUGGUCUAUUACACCUGAUUCUCGAAGUGGACACUUUCAAACCACAGUAGUGAGUACGGAAUUAAACACAUUCCAUUUAGUCAGACAAAAAACAGACUAGAAAGGACAAAUCGCAAAACACGGAGCUCUUCUGGAGUAUUGGUACCCCUGGUAACCAUUGCCUAACAACAACUUACCAGCUAGAAAGUCCAAGGCCCUUAAAAGCCUCUAGAAAAGAAAAGGAGAGAGGAGUUGAAGUGUGAGAACUAAAGUGUGAAAAUAAUGCCUUCACUUGUGAUAAAAUGAAAAACAAGUGGGAAUUUUUCUAUGAGCUUAGGUAAUGGUGGACUCAUUACUUCUUACAUAUUACAAGGUGAAUAUAAAUCAAACAGUAUGCCUUUGAAUUUCAAGAAGCCCAUAAAAGUCAGAUGAUUUUAUAAUAGUUUUCCUGGUACAUUAAGCAAGCCACACCUAAGUGAGUGGGCAUAAGGAUAUCAUUGAAGACAAGGUAUGUGUCAUCUGCCAGCCUUGAGGGGAAAUUGUUGAAUCUCAGAAGAAAUAAAUAAUAUGCUAUAUUGGGGCUCUUGCCAGAUACAGUUCAGCUUGGUCAUGCAGGGUGAAAAUAGAACAUAUAAGAAGUAGCACCCUCUCUGUGUUCAUUUUUACAUUUCUUAUGCUUCAUGUCAAAGCUCAUUUGACUCCAAAAAAAGAAGAAAGAAAAAUCCCAAAGAGAAACAUU
rnacentral:lncRNA from 1 species